rnacentral:tRNA from 1 species
CAGGGUGUUAUAGCUGUUGAGAGGCACCCCGAUCGACGUCACGCGACCCUCGCAGACAGCCUGGUCUUCCUUCGGGACGAAGAGGUCGUGGGUUCAAAUCCCGCCACCCCGA